rnacentral:lncRNA from 1 species
AGAAGAGCAGAAGAGAACUGGAGAGAACUUAUGCCCAGUGAACAUGACAGAUGACCAGUUCCAGAGUUUUCGUCUUUCAUAUACACUCUUCAACUUGGCUCAUGUUGAAGCAGCACUCCCUGGUACAUUCCAUGAAAUGAUAUGGAAUUUGGACAACUCUCCUCCUUGUGACAGAGUUGAGUUGUUCUAAGUGUUUGCCUCAAGAAAAGGAAAUGGUUCCAUUUACCCAAGCACAUCCACAUUUCCCAUAAGCUCUGCAGUCAUGAUCUUGAAGUGAAAUCUCAAAACUGAAUUUCUAAGAGGAGCAGUUGGAAACUGAUGCUUGAUGAAGGGAAGGAAAAGCUUUUACUCAAUUAUCUACAAUAACAGCAGGAGAAAUGCUGAAAAUUACUGACACAGUAAAUGGAUUUUUGCAUAAAUGUUCUCUGUUUUCAAGUUUA